UCCAGUGACGAUGGCGGAGAGGUCACACCCGUUCCCAUGCCGAACACGGUAGUUAAGCUCUCCAGCGCCGAUGAUAGUUGGGGUCCACCCCUGUGAAAGUAGGACGUUGCUGGGC
rnacentral:rRNA from 1 species